UGAGGAAUAUUGGGCAAUGCCCGCAAGGGUGACCCAGCAACGCCGCGUGGAGGAUGAAUGUCGUAAGAUUGUAAACUCCUGUUAGAGGGGAAGAAUAGUACCGGUUGGACCGGUAUAUGACUGUACCCUCAGAGAAAGCCCCGGCUAACUACGUGCCAGCAGCCGCGGUAAUACGUAGGGGGCAAGCGUUGUCCGGAUUUACUGGGUGUAAAGGGCGCGCAGGCGGAAUGGAAAGUCAGUGGUGAAAUCCUACAGCUUAACUGUAGAACUGCCUUCGAUACUUUCAUUCUUGAGUUCGGGAGAGCGAGGCGGAAUUCCAGGUGUAGUGGUGAAAUACGUAGAUAUCUGGAAGAACACCAGUUGCGAAGGCGGUCUCUUGGUCCGAUACUGACGCUGAGGCGCGAAAGCGUGGGGAGCAAACA
rnacentral:rRNA from 1 species